rnacentral:rRNA from 1 species
AGCGUUAUCGGAAUUACUGGGCGUAAAGCGUGCCCUGGUGGUUUGUUAAGUCAGAUGUGAAAGCCCCGAGUUUAACUUGGGAACUGCGUUUGAAACUGGCAAGUUAGAGUCUGUCAGAGGGGGGUAGAAUUCCACGUGUAGUCACUGAAAUGCGUAGAGAUGUGGAGGAAUACCAAUGGUGAAGGCAGCCCCCUGGGAUAAGACUGACGCUCAUGCACGAAAGCGUGGGGAGCAAACAGGAUUAGAUACCCUGGGUAGUCCACGCCCUAAACGAUGUCAACUGGUUGUUGGGCAACUUGAUUGUUCAGUAACGAAGCUAACGCGAGAAGUUGACCGCCUGGGGAGUACGGUCGCAAGAUUAAAACUCAAAGGAAUUGACGGGGACCCGCACAAGCGGUGGAUGAUGUGGAUUAAUUCGAUGCAACGCGAAAAACCUUACCUACCCUUGACAUGUACGGAAGUCUGCUGAGAGGUGGAUGUGCCUGAAAGGGAACCGUAACACAGGUGCUGCAUGGCUGUCGUCAGCUCGUGUCGUGAGAUGUUGGGUUAAGUCCCGCAACGAGCGCAACCCUUGCUAUUAAUUGCCAUCAUUAAGUUGGGCACUUUAAUAGGACUGCUGGUGAUAAACCGGAGGAAGGUGGGGAUGACGUCAAGUCCUCAUGGCCCUUAUGGGUAGGGCUUCACACGUCAUACAAUGGCCGGUACAGAGGGAUGCCAACCCGCGAGGGGGAGCCAAUCUCAGAAAGCCGGUCGUAGUCCGAGAUUGUUCUCUGCAACUCGAGAGCAUGAAGUCGGAAUCGCUAGUAAUCGCGGAUCAGCAUGUCGCGGUGAAUACGUUC